rnacentral:rRNA from 1 species
GUUAAAAAGCUCGUAGUUGGAUUUCUGGGAUUUUCAGCCGGCCGGCUCUUAGGAGUUGUAGCUAGGUUUGCAAGUCUCAUCUUCUCACAAUUCUCGCUGGCCUUAACUGUUCGGCGUAGAGGACUGAGUCGUUUACUUUGAGAAAAUUAGAGUGUUCAAAGCAGGCUAUCGCCUUGAAUAUAUUAGCAUGGAAUAAUGAUAUAGGACUUUGGUUCUAUUUUGUUGGUUGUUCAGGACCA